rnacentral:snoRNA from 1 species
UGUUUAAUGAUGACAACUUAUCUCAGCUCACUCAGAUAUAACAUGAUCGAAAUCUUUUCCAUAUCCAACAUUCAUCAAAAUACUGACCAAACG